AAAAUUUCUUUAUCCUCUCUCCCCUCUCUCCAUAUUUUUCUUCUUCUUCUCUUUCCCGUACCCUAACCCAGCCGACCAUCAUCUUCUCCCCUUCCCUUGCCGUUCAGAUCCAUGGCCGCCGCCCACCCUUCAACCUCACGCCAACUUCUUCUCCUCCUCCAUCAGUUUCGAUUUAUCGCGCCGCCGAAGUCUUGCGUUGUUCGGGUUGCACAAGCCGAUCACCGGCCGUCAAGCUUGCAAGCGCUGCGUGACUCUCCAUCGAUCAAUCAUCCCGAACCGUAGCCGUUCUGCUAAGGCCGUCGUCGCGCACAUCUCUGUGUAGCCGACGACUACCCGAACCACGUUCGCCGCGCGUCGGGAGACCACUCCAAGCCGUGCAGCCUCCAUCUUUUCGUCUGACCGAGCCGUCCAACUUCUCCCAUCACUCAGUUACGUUUUGCACAUUGUUGCCCAACUCGGUUCGUAGACCUUUGCCCUUUUACUCUACGACUUGCAGUGAUUUUUCGGUUGUAAUUAAUUGUCGUGGGUUAUGGAUCUGUGAUGUCUCUUUGGGAAUGCAAUGUUGAAUUAAUCGAUUGGUUUAUAUGGGUUUUUUGGAGGUGUCGUUGUGGAUAGUGUUAGAGUUCUUGGAGUUUUGACGGGUUGGUUGAAGUUUAACUAUCCACUUUUUGGGAUUUGAUUGUUGGAUUUAGUUUGAUUGAGGAAUUUGCAUAAAAAUCGAGGCAAAUGUAACAAAGGUGGCAAACCGACAAGGGGCAGGAAGGAAGCGUGAACAUUUUAAAUUCGCUUCUACACUACUAUAAAAACAGGCUCUUUUGACGUUUUUAAACGGUCAAAAAUCACUAUUCUUGACGGUUUUAAAAUCGUCGUUGAAGCCAAAGUUCUUGACGGUUGAUAGAAACGUCAAGAAUAUUGAACGUUGACGUUUUAUAAACGUCAAAUAUACAAAUGUUCAUGACAGUUAAAAACUGUCAAGAGUAUGAAUGUUUGUGUCAGUUUAAAACCGUCAAGAGUAUAAGUGUUCAUGACAUUUAAUAACCGUAAAAAAAUUGAUUGUUUAUGACAUUAAAAACCGUUAAGGAUGCACUUGUUUAUGACAUUUUAAAACCGUCAAGUAUGUUAUGAGUUUUUUUAUAAAAAAAAUUGUAAUUCAA